rnacentral:lncRNA from 11 species
AUUUCACACAACUGAAAGCUGGGGAUUUUAUUAGCCCUGGCUUCUCCUACAUCUGUCAUGCCCUGCUUAAAUUGAUCACGCUGCACACAGCUGUUAAAAUAAAGAAAAGAGCAGGCGCCGGAGAGAGUUGGGAUGUGAUUUGCGGCUGUUGCCUAGCCACAUUGCACCUGGGGAUAGCCUCGCAUGGCCUCAGGCUCCCAUCAGAUGGACACUUGCAACCAGGCAGACCUCACCUGGAAUACUAUGUCCAGUUCUAAGCACCACGAAUCAAGAAGGAUAAUGAAAAGCUGGAAUGUGCAGAAAAGAGC